GUAAUUAUAUUUAUGACACAUAAAAUAAUGUUAACGAUUAAGAGAGGUUUAGCAUGGACCCUGCACAAGGAUGAACCCCUACCACCAAAAAAAUCAUUAAAAAAAG
rfam:Mus musculus chromosome 16, GRC primary reference assembly.